rnacentral:rRNA from 1 species
CACCUCCAGCAUCCCUAGUAUUGGAGGCAUUGCCUGCCCAGUGACAACUGUUUAACGGCCGCGGUAUCCUGACCGUGCAAAGGUAGCAUAAUCAUUUGUUCUCUAAAUAAGGACUUGUAUGAAUGGCCACACGAGGGUUUUACUGUCUCUUACUUCCAAUCAGUGAAAUUGACCUUCCCGUGAAGAGGCGGGAAUGCAUAAAUAAGACGAGAAGACCCUAUGGAGCUUUAACUAACCAACCCAAAGAAAAUAAAUUUAACCAUUGAGGAACAACAACAAUCUCCAUGAGUUGGUAGUUUCGGUUGGGGUGACCUCGGAGAAUAAAAAAUCCUCCGAACGAUUUUAAAGACUAGACCCACAAGUCAAAUCACUCUAUCGCUCAUUGAUCCAAAAAUUUGAUCAACGGAACAAGUUACCCUAGGGAUAACAGCGCAAUCCUAUUUAAGAGUCCAUAUCGACAAUAGGGUUUACGACCUCGAUGUUGGAUCAGGACAUCCUGAUGGUGCAACCGCUAUCAAAGGUUCGUUUGUUCAACGAUUAAAGUCCU